CCUACGGGGGGCUGCAGUAAGGAAUAUUGGGCAAUGGAGGCAACUCUGACCCAGCCAUGCCGCGUGAAGGAUUGACGGCCCUCUGGGUUGUAAACUUCUUUUGUACGGGAAUAACCCUCCGAACGUGUUCGGAGCUGAAGGUACCGUAAGAAUAAGGAUCGGCUAACUCCGUGCCAGCAGCCGCGGUAAUACGGAGGAUCCAAGCGUUAUCCGGAUUUACUGGGUUUAAAGGGUGCGUAGGCGGAUUGAUAAGUCAGUGGUGAAAUCCUGCAGCUUAACUGCAGAACUGCCAUUGAUACUGUUAGUCUGGAGUAUGGUUGAGGUAGCUGGAAUGUGUCAUGUAGCGGUGAAAUGCUUAGAGAUGACACAGAACACCGACGGCGAAGGCAGGUUACCAACCCAUUACUGACGCUGAGGCACGAAAGCGUGGGGAUCAAACAGGAUUAGAUACCCCUGUAGUC
rnacentral:rRNA from 1 species